rnacentral:lncRNA from 1 species
CGCGUACUAAUAUGGGUAUUAUCAUCCUCAUGGAGCUUCGCCAAGCCAAAAUCUGAUAUUUUAGGAUUGAAGUCCUUGUCAAGCAAAAUAUUACUGGUCUUGAUAUCUCUGUGGACUAUCUUCAUGCUUGACUCCUCAUGAAGGUAUGCUAAACCUCUUGCAAUUCCUAGGCAAAUUUUCCUUCGUGUUGGCCAGUCUAAUUUCAUUUUGCAGAUUGGUCCUUUGCCUAAUGUACGAGAAAGACAGAAGAAAAGAAAAGUAAGAAUAGAUCAGCACAGUAAGAUAAACAAUGUCAAGUGCAUAAGCAGCAGACAUAUUUUGGUUGAUCACAGUAUGGAAUUAUUUACCAAAAAGAGCACGAGAUACACAGUUAUUUUCCAUGUGGACUCCUCAUGAAGGUACGCUAAACCUCUUGCAAUUCCUAGACAAAUUUUCCUUCGUGUCGGCCAGUCUAAUUUCAUUUUAUAGAUUGGUCCUUUGCCUAAUGUACGAGAAAGAUAAAAGAAAAGAAAAGAAAGUAAGAAUAGAUCAGCUCAGUAAGAUAAACAAUGUCAAGUGCAUAAGCAGCAGACAUAUUUUGGGUGAUCACAGGAUGGAAGUAUUUACCAAAAAGAGCACGAGAUACACAGUUAUUUUCCAUGUACUCGUACACUAAUAAUAACUGAU